AAUGACCAGGCCGCCCCGGAUGAGCUAAUAAUGGAAGCAAUUUGUAACUUUCAGUAGCUCUCUAGGCCUAGGUACCGGUGGGAGGGAGGCUGGCGGAGGGGGAGACAGCACCCCCCAGUUUUUUUGCCCAGCCUGUUUGUCUAGGGAAACUCGGAUCCCCGGGCCCUCCUUUUUCUUUACAGCAGUGUUCUUCGUUCCACUCCUGACCGACAGCACAGCCAGGGCCUUCUAUUCCAACACCUCUUCCAGCGACCUGGUCAGGUGUGGCCAAUGGAAGCAAGAGCCCAGUGAAGUCGCCUAAGUCCGAGGGCAUGGUGUAACUCACACGGAGCACAACCCUACUUGGAAUGGACCAUUCGUGGCUUUAGAAUCUUGAUGGACACGAGCAACUGUCGGCACAAUCUAUUUAAGAGUAUUCUGAGCCCUCAGAGAGCAGCCUUCUGCCCACAGGUGACCAAAUCCUUAUCCUCAAUAACCCUUCUAACUGAGCAGCCAACGAGCUGCCCUCUACCUAUUCAGGACAGCCUAGGAAUGGCUUCAUGCAGUAGGUGGCCUUCUGUGAUUGGCUCCUUUUCCUUGGUUCUUAUGCGUUGCUGUGUCAAAGCACGCAUCCAUUCUCCUUCCUUCUCAUGGAUGAGUUACUUCAACGGUAGACAGACCACCUUCCAGGUAUGUGUUCAUCAGUACAUGGGCAUUUAGGUUGUUCCCAUGUCCAGAAAUUAUGAUUUUCUAUGUCUCUAGACAGUUUGAAUCAUCUAGAGUGAGCUCUGCAGCCAGGAACAGGCCUGACUUAUGUGUGGGAACCUCCAGUGUCCAUGGAAGCCAGGCUUUUGCACCUGGUCCAGGUGCUUCUCCCCUGGUUACAUUGCUGAGGAUGGCCAUUGACCCAGCAGCUCUCUAUUUGUCCCCUUGCUGUCCUCAGACCCCUCUCCUGCAGCUUCAGAGUCUGAGUGGAGAAACAGGAAUACUUCCCCAAGAUUGGCCCCAUGUAAUCCUCUAUGUGUGCUACUGGUAAAUGGAAACCUUCGGGCCAAGGGAAAGUCAAGUUCUUGAGGGUGUGUCUGCUUCAGAGUCCAGGUCUCCUUCCCAUGUCCCACCUCACUUCUCUCAGUCUACUCUUUCUUCUGCUGACACCAGAAACUGCCCUACCUGCAUCAAUCCUAACAUACCAGUGGGACCAGCAGGAUGCAUACAAGAAGUCCAAAUAGUGCCAGGUUGCAUUUGUUGAAUGAGUGGAUGAGGGAUGAUUCCAUACUCUGGAAAUAAACUGUGGAGAAGGUCAGUUAUAAAUCUCUAUCUAUUACUACCCCUUUCCUAGUCUGGAAAUCAGCAUUUUCCUCACAAAGGUGGGUGAAGAAAGCACAAAAUGCUACCUCUAUAAUAGCUGCUAUUUAUUGGACCGGCAUUUAUAUGUCUGAUUGGUUUCAUAUCUCUCUCUCUCUCUCUCUCUCUCUCUCUCUCUCUCUCUCCCUCUCUCAGGCAAAGUUUCACAUAGCCCAGGCUGACCUGGAAUUUUCACAAUGUGACCGAGAAUAACCUUGAGCUUUUGAUCCUCCUGUUUCUAAUCCCAAGUGCUGGGAUCACAGGUGUGUGCGGAGACACUUGAUUUACUUGGUGCUGGGAAUAAAACCCAAGGCUUCUUGCACACUAUUCUACCGACUUCGCCAACAUGCUUUUCACCUCCUGAGCAAGUAUAAUAAAACUCAUUUUAAUUUCUCUCUAUUGUUUA
rnacentral:lncRNA from 1 species